rnacentral:rRNA from 1 species
UACGUAGGGUCCGAGCGUUUGUCCGGAAUUAUUGGGCGUAAAGGGCUCGUAGGCGGUUCGUCACGUCGGGAGUGAAAACUCGGAGCUUAACUCCGAGCCUGCUUCCGAUACGGGCAGACUAGAGGUAGGCAGGGGAGAGCGGAAUUCCUGGUGUAGCGGUGAAAUGCGCAGAUAUCAGGAGGAACACCGAUGGCGAAGGCGGUUCUCUGGGAAUAUCCUGACGCUGAGGAGCGAAAGUGUGGGGAGCGAACAGG